GGGGGGAGGGGGUGGGGGGUAAUUUACUGGUCCUCUGUUCGAGUGUGCGGGAGUUCUCUCUCUCUUGCUCUGUCUGCCUCAGUCUCUCUCUCCCGCGCUGCCUGUCGAUCUCUCGCUGUGCUCUUGCAUCAGUGGCGGGCUGAGGGCGUAUGGGUUUAUUUUUGUGGGGAUAGUUCAUUCAUUUUUCGCUCUGAAUUUCCAAACACACGUAUGACAGGACAAAGUGUAACGUCUUCAUUAAACACCAAUUAACUUUUGGAUCCGCUUCACAGGUGGAUCUUUGCAAGAAUACUCUGACAUGUUACCAGCAUGCAAGCUACGUAGAAGCCCGUCCUCUUUAAGCAUAAAAUACCAGAGGCUUAAGUGGAGGAAAAGGUACAGUGCAAAUCGAGAGGAUUUGAGCACUGUGAUCUGACGGCUGACAGCCGAGCUGAGUUCCCAGGACAGUCCCAGGUCAGUCCCAGGCCAGUCCCUGGUCACAAUCUGCCCUGCUGUUAUGUUCUCCCCCAAACCACACUACUGCUCACAGUCUUCCACGGCUUUCCUAAGAAGAGCACCAGUGAAAGAGAGAGACGGAGACAGAGGGAGAGACAAAGAGAGAAUGUCUCCGUUUUAAGAGUUGAUUAGUUAUUAUUAAUGAUACUAAUUCUAUAAAUAAUGAUGCCAGUAUUAAUGAUAGUGAUUUUGAGAGAUGGAUUUUUCUUUUGUUGAGUUGUUUAUUUUUUUUAAUUCAGCUGUGUUCAUCUUAUUCUCAUUGUUGUGUUCCAGAAUGGGACUGUGGGGGGGGGGUGUGUGGAGCUCUGUGGAGAUAACACGGCACAAUGGGACUUGUGCACUUCCUGUCUCUCUGCAAAACUACAAACUGUGUAGUUUCUGAGAGCUGGUCACAUUGCGAUUGCCACUGCACUAAACUUUUAACCCGGCCCCACUAUCACUGUAACCCACGGCAACAAUUUAUGACCGGCCUGCUUCUUAAUGGCAAUCCCACUCCCGCACCCCCCCCCCCCCCACUAUGCCAGCCUCCAGCCCUGGGGGGCAUUCUAUGAUGGGGGAGGCAGUGGGGGAGAGGUGUAGUUAAGGAGCGGAAGGUGGAGGUCUGAGCUGGAGCAGGACCACUUCAGAAGGGCCGCUGUAACAAUCAGUAUCCGCCACCUAGCCCCUCCCUCCAUGCGUCUCCAGUCACGGGCGCUCGAAAUCCCACAGUUUACCCCGCACGAAAAACGUUUCACUCGUUUCUGAUGAGCCGAGGGAAAGAAAGUUGGGUUGAAGGAAUAAUCCAUGUUGAGGGGUCUCAGGAAAAAUGGAAAAAUAAAGUCAUAUGGUGCAGCUACAGCACAGUGCAGUGCUGGAAUGAAAACCCAUUCGAUUCUCACAUGGGGCUGUCAAAACACAGUCAUUUAAAAUAAAAGCUGUGGCUGCUGGCUAUUAUUGGCUUUUCCUCGGAGGCCCCUCAACUGUUCCUAAAUCUGAUUAGUGAAAAUGUUUGUUGCUUUCUCAUCGCAGCGUGAGAGAGAGAAGCUCUAUUGACCAUGUUAAUCAAGAUCAAUGCUGCUCUGUUUUUCUCAUUCAGAUUAUUUUUCUGACGCAGGACGGGUGGGGGGGAGGUUGAGUAUUUGUUGACCACAAGGUGGUGCUGUUUUGUCUUUGGGAGGAGAUGGGGAGGGGGGGGUAACGCCAACCCAGCCGACACGACUGCCACCAGGGGGCGACACAGCCCACUGUUGCCGCUCACGUCUCCCUGCCUUCCUGUCGUCAUGACAGCCAGUCUGUACCCAUGAAGUGUUCACUGCGUUCGGGACGUGCGCCACAGCCAAAACAACCGCACAGAAGGACCAAGGGCUACGCUCUUCCUGCCAAACUUUCCUCUGCCCCCACCCCCCACCCCCAGCCCCACAGCCCCCAGCCCCCACCUUCACAAACCCCUUCAAUCCUUUAGCGUUUCUGUCCACUGAAACCAACUUUGACUUCUCAGUCUUUCUCGCUGCACUACCAAGGUAUUAGAUACAAUACUGCUCCCAUCACUGCCACGUGACUAGGUUUCUCCUUAUUGUUAUCACUGUAGAGGUUGCUCCCACCUACAGUCCUCUAUCAGCCUAUUCAUGCUAUAGCAAGCAACGCUAGAGGUUCCCUGUCCCCGGACAUUGUACGGCACAGGCGUGUUGCUAGGCGAUGCCUCUCUUUAGAGGUCCCUGCGCACGCGUGACGUAGCACAGGUGUUAGCCACACAGCGAAGGAGCGUGCUGUGCCACUUCAGAGAGAGGUUAGAGAGAGGCGUCUGUGCGUUCACAGGCACGAUUCUAUGCAGAUCACUGCAGGCCAGCUUUUAAUAGCGCUUCACCACUUGAGCAGUGUGGUCCAGUUUGUGUGUGUGUGUGUGCGUCAUAGAACGGUGGACGUACAUGAAUGGCACCUGAUCUAUAGCCACCUUGUUUCCACCCUGUUAUGGCCACUCAUUUGGUUUCCUUCUCCCUGUUCUAUAUCUCUCUCUUUCUCUUUCUCUCUUGCUGCCUAUCUCUCUCUCCCUCUCCCUCUCCCUCCCCCAGUAGUUACCAUCUCCAGGCCACCAUCAGGAAGAGGGGUGGCUCGACACCCCAGGUCUCAGAGGAUGGACUAAAUUGGCUAGGGGUUAGCAUUCCUGAUCCUGGAGAGCCACAGUGCCUUCUGACUGUUAUUUCAUGCAAACCCCUUAUUUAACAGGACCAUCUAUAGGCCUUAAUGACAUGAGUAUUAGUGCCAGUGACCGUGUGUUUGAGCUUCUCUGUGGCCAGCUUGGUCUGGGGUAGGAGAGGCUUACGGGCCCUACUGCACGGUGGUCGCUUUGUUGCUAAGGUGCAAUCGCCCUGGCAACUGCGUCCAGUCUGCCAGUGAAAUUCUGCCAUUUCUGAGGUUUAACUGAUUUGUUAAUAUUCAGUUUCUUAUCAUUGAAGUGUAAAAGACGCGCAUUUAAAUGUGUAACAUAAGAAUGGAUUGGAUUUUACAGAUACUCACCUGUGAGUUUGGCUCUACUGCCAAGAGAAAGGAAAAACCCUCCCUCUUUCUCUCUCUCUCUCACCCACUUCUUCUCUAUCGCAUUCUCUCUUACUCCCUUUCUCCUUGCUCCUUUUCUUCAUCAUUCCCUUUCCUGAAACCUGGACCCGAAACUGGGAAUACAGGAUUGGCCAUUUCGAAUGAAAUCAUUUUGGCUCCAAAUGUUGCAUGUUUCACACCUUGUGGAGCCAAAAUGGCAAACACCACUGCAGUUACCAACAAAAAAAUGGGUGUCUUGUGUGCUCCAAAAGACAGCGCAAAUCGUGUCACAAUACAUGAUCAUCCCAAAGCUUAUUGUGUUUCCCCGCUACUUGUUUUCCUCUUUAUGACCAAGCGAUUUUUGCGAUUGCUGUCGCUGUGCAGGUCUCUCCCUUCAUUCCUCUUAUCGUCCUUCAUCUCAAUUCUCUCAAUUACUUCUCGACAUUUGGUUCACUAAUCCAGACGUGGGUUCUCUCUCUUUUCUCAUUACCAUCCCCCAUUUUCCUGUCGUCUUCCCCCUUCUCUCCUCUCUUUCCCUCUAAAAAAGUGUUUACAUAUGGAGCCCCAUCCCAUUGUCUCCGCAUGUCCUUCCCUUUCAGGGAACAAAGGAGAGGCGGUCCAUCCAUUCAGUGGUACCCGCGUCUGAUUUUUGGAUGGUGUGUAUCUCUAGUGUGAUGCCAACGGUAGUGCAUAAAUAAGGGCUUUCUUGUGAUGGUUCGAGGUGGUGAGACCAAAAGCAAUGCUCACGUAGCCGCACACACUCCGCACGCUCUUCUCUGUGUGUUAGCGUAAAAAAAAAAAAAAAAAGGCACAGAGAUGGAAGGACUAUGUGCAGUGAUGGAGUAUAGUGCGAAAUCCAGAAAAAAAAAAAAAAAAGUAUUGAUAGUUACACGAUAGGACAAAUUUCACUACAGAACUGCACGCAUUUGAUCAUAGCAGAGAUCGGCUCUCAGGGAGGGAGACUGGGAGAAUUCGCUGUCAUGACAGUGACACAGUCCUGUGUGUGUGUGUGUGUGUGUGUGUGUGCGUGCAUAUGCGUUAGUGUGUGUGUGUGUGUUUGUGAGCGUGUGUAUGUGUUUGAGAGUGUGUGUGUGCGUGCAUAUGUGUUAGUGUGUGUGUUUGUGAGUGUGUGUAUCUGUUUGAGUGUGUGUGUGUGUGUGUGUGUUUGUAAGAGUGUGUUUAUGUGCGAUAGGGCACAGUGUAUGCAGUGCCUUUCACUGCUGAGCAAACAGACACUCACAGAAACCACGCCCCCCUCUCAGCGCUCAGACACAACGGCAGGGACGCGUGCCAGAUGCCGGCUGGGAUCAUGGGAUAGCUCUUCAUCCUCCAUUCAUCAUCUUCCUCUCCUCCUGUCAUCUGUAAAGGCCAUAAGCCAUGGACCCUGCCUCCCCCCUCUGUGCCCCCCCUGGCCAGAUCUUCAUUGGCACAUGGAAGGGUGAACCAGUGGAGCAUGAGAUUGGAUGACUGUCUUUUCUAUCAACGGGUGUUUGUUGUUAUUGGGGGGUGGGAGGAGGGGGUGGGGGCGGGGGGGUAAUCACGGCCAGUUUGGGCGGUUGUGCAGGUCUGUCAUUUUUCUGUCUGUACAUUGACUCUGUAAAUCAUUGAUAACCUAUAUCACCCAUAAACCUCCCGAAACAACAGCUGUGUCCAUUCUCUUCUCUACUUCACCGUCUUACUCUCCUGUCUCUUCCAUCAAGUCAUUUCUCCGUCUACUUGCAGUUUGCAUGCUGGUGUUUCCAUUUUAAGACAUGUUGAGGUUAACUGGAAGUCGUUUGCAGGCAGUGUGUCAAAAAAAUAAAUCACAUGCAGUAUAAUGAGCAGCCACAAGGGGGCAUAAAGAGUAUUGACAGUAAUAUUAUAGCCUAUACUGCCUCUCACCCUAGAUACAUGCAUACACACACACAUAAUGCUUCACUUAAUGGUUCAAUUACAGCACUCAGGUCAGGCAGAUGUUCCAGAGGGAGGAUGCUAGUGGCAUCAGCAGUAAAAUUGAAAGUGAAUUUGUGAAGUGUGCCCCAGAGGCAUCAGACGUGCUCCCAGCAGACUGCAGGCACGAGCAGACAGUGAGAGGAACCCCAGCGGGGCAUUCUGCAGUGACGUGCCACAGGGAUCCCUGCACCACUCUUCCCUCUCCAUCCUUCACCCGCCACCAUUCCUCCGUCUCCUCACCCGCUAACUCGCUCCCGUCCCAGGGCAGCUUCCGCCCGGCGUCCCCCGGCCUGCGCCUGAGCGCUGCUGCUCCCUGAACCCUCCGGAGGUGCGAGGGGAGUCCUGCUUGGUGGAGCUCACGGCCCAGAGCCCCACACAGACACGCACAGAGCCUGGGGAGGGGGACUCUGCUCGGGAGGCUCAGACACGCAGAGGCUGGACAGACUCCUGUUAUUUGCACUAAAACCGCUGCAUCGCCGACCGGCAACCUGCCCGGGGUGUUUUCCUGCCUUUUCGCCCAAUGCAUGCUGGGAUAGGCUCCAGCCACCCUGCAACCCUGACCAGGAAUAAGCAGGACAGAUAAUGGAGAUGGAUGGGUGCUGCAUCGCCCCGGCCCUCCCCAGACGAAAUGCCACUCAGGUCUCCCAGGCAACAGUUCAGUCCCAGGAUCAGUCUGGAGCCCUGUACACACCUGGCCAGGUUUACAGAUCCCCCCAGAAUUACAUUCUGCAUUUAACCACUUAGCUGAGUGUAGUCCCAUGUGAAUGCACCACACAAAGAUAGAGGGUCAACAAGGGCCUGAGUGCAGUCUGAGGGGCAGGUGUGUGUGUGUGUGUGUGUGUGUGUGUGUGUGUGUGAGGGAGACGGUGGUAGGGGACAGUACGUGCUUGAUUGUGUAUCUGUGCCAGCGUUAGCAUGAGAGUGUGAGUGUGUUUGUGUGCGCACGUGUGUGUGUGUGCGCACGUGUGUGUGUGAGUGUGUUUGUGAGAGUCGGACACGUCUGUCACUGUCACACCUGAAAACAAAGCAUGCCCUGACAUGUUCCCCUGACAUCACACACCACUGGGUCCCCAUGGUCCCAAUCAAGCGUCGGCUAACAAGCGCUAACUAACUCACCACCAUUCCAUGUGAAUAAAGCACGCAGGAGCCACCGAGGAAUUUAAAAGAGAAAAAGAAAAACAUUUAAAUGACAAAGACAAAAAAGAAACGUAUUUACUUACAGAACUGCAUGUGCAAUGUGCAUGCCACUAUGUGGGGUAUAAAGUCAUCUUCAGGAAUUCAAAAAAAGAAUAUCAAGAAAAAAGUAUAUAUAAAUAUAGAUAGAUGUUUUUAAAAGCAAUGUGUUCCUUUUCUUCUUCUAUUUUUAAAAACAAAAAAUGCAAAAAAAGACAAAAAAAAAAAAAAACAAUAACAAAACGACUUUGGUGUUCAUAUCAAAGGAGCUUUGUUAGUUUCUUAUUGCCAAGUGUUCACUGAGAGUCUGGGGUUGAGAUAAACACACAUCGACGCAAUGUUUGAGAAAAAAAAAGAAAAGAAAAGAAGAAUAAAAAAUAUUUCCAGUUGGGGGGGGGGGGGGCGGGGGGGUUAAAGAAGUAUUUAAAAAAUCCUCCAGUAGAGCUGGAACAGAAGCUGCCUGAAUGUGAUGAUGUAGCCCUUUAUUUUGGCUGUGGAAUCUCUUUCUCUCUAUGUUUCUCUCUCAGCUAUUUCUACCAGUGCAUUUUGUAAUUCUGAAGAGAAUUCUUCCUAAGGAACCCGAAUAAACCCGGAGAGAAUGCAGCCUUC